UACGAAGGGGGCUAGCGUUGUUCGGAAUUACUGGGCGUAAAGGGCGCGUAGGCGGCUUCAACAGUCGGGCGUGAAAUGCCUGGGCUUAACCCAGGAACUGCGUUCGAAACUGCGAGGCUAGAGUGUGGGAGAGGAUGGUGGAAUUCCCAGUGUAGAGGUGAAAUUCGUAGAUAUCGGAAGGAACAUCAGUGGCGAAAGCGACUUCCUGGACCAAUACUGACGCUCAUGUGCGAAAGCGUGGGGAGCAAACAGG
rnacentral:rRNA from 1 species